rnacentral:lncRNA from 1 species
GUAAAAUAAGGUAUACUGCUCAAGGUUAACAUUUUCCUAGAAAGCUGUCAUUCUUUUAUGUUGUUACUCAGUUCAUUGAAGCUAAAUUCCUGAAUGAGUUAAUGUUUUGUAUGCUAUAAUGAGUAAGGGAUUAAUUUAAUAUGAAUUACUGAAACCUAAAAUUUCACGGUGACAUGUUCUUCCUAUAUAACUCCUAGAAAAUUAAGAGAUUUUAAAUUGGUCAAAAUUAUGUUGUAAUAUCAGUUAAGUCAUAAUUGGCUCAUUGUUCAUUACUAGAAAGGCAGAGGGACUUGGGCAGAACUGCUCCCUUUCCCCUCUUCACCCAACCUGAUGGCAUAUUUUCACAUCCCCCACCCUUCUGCCCAGCAGCCAAAUGGGAGGGCACAAUGGCUAAGGCUAGUGGCUCACAGGUGGCAGAGCUGGAGGGGAGCAAAGGGCUCCUCUCCCUCCUUAUAGUUACUGAAGACAUUCCUCACUUCACCUACCCAGCAGCCUUGGGUAGGAGGCAAUGAACCACAAUCCCAAGAAACAGUCAUUUCUAGACUUGAUCAAUUGUGAAUUUCUGAGUCAGUGAUGAUUGCCCAUGUGGAGGUGCUUACUGCAACAACAUUGCUUUUGAGAGAAGAUGUUCUACUACCAGGAGAAAUUACCAGUACAAGGAUAGAAGUCAUGUUUAAAAAACGAAUUAGAAUAUUGCCUGUCUUUUGAACCGGAUCCUAUACUGCAAGCUGCCAUUUGAAGGCUGGUGCUUCUCAGAAAUGAUAUUACACAUCAGAGAGGUGGCUUUGGUAUCAUCGAUUGAUUGAGAAGACUUCUUCAGGUAUAUAAGUAAAAUUGAUAAUAGGAGAGUUCUGCUUGAAUACUUUGACAUGCCAUCAGCAUUUCUGAUGAGUAUUUGCCAGGACAGACCAAGCUUAUGAGAUGGAGAGGUAUGAAUUUUGAAGAUAGGGAGUUUGUUUUCCUCUCUUCCCCAACCCCUAAUGCUGAUAAGCUAGCAACAAAAGACCUGUUACCUGGGGUGGCUACUAUCUGUGGGAGAUGAGAGGAGGCCAAGAUCAUCUCCAAACAAAAAUGCAAAUGAAA